CAAAAUCCUGCUAUAAAAACAACCCCAGCAUGACCCCCUUGGGAAAUGAAUACAGUAUUCUGUCUUACUGCCAUAAUUCCUAAGACCAUGUUUAUACCAGCUCACUAAGCCGCUGGGAGGCAGAUUUUGGCCUUGCUUUCCCUCUGCCACCAGGAUCCACAUCUGCCAUCAUCUGGCCUGUGUGUGCUUCUCAGUCGACCACAGUCACUUCUCAGAACUCAACUGCUGGAUCGAUGGAGGCAGAUGCAGUACAGGGGAGGAAGCCAACAGAAAGCUGUGCUCUUAGAAGAAGUCCCUACUCCUACAUUCUUGCUGAAAAGGGGCAGAGAGGAACCCCACCAAAUUAAAGGCAGUUCAAAGACUUCCUUUGAACCUGAAAAUGUCCAACUACAUCAUUAAUACCUUUUAAAAAAACUUUGAGGCAAUUAUCUGAGCUGGAUAUUUAUUUUUUUUAAAGGCCAGAGAAGAUGGUUUUUACUUCCUAAUGUUGACUCAUAUAUUCCCAGGGUGUUGGCAAUAAGAACUGUAUUUUCUGAUUUCCUCCAUUCCCCACCCUACUCAAGAGAAAUAAUCAGAAACUAACAGAUAUGAUGGCAUGGUAGAGAAAAGAGAAAUUAAAAUAUUUUAAAAACACCGAUUUGGGGGGGUAAAAUUUAAAAAUAGACUUGGAGCCCCUCUUAAAUGUCUUGUUUGAGGCAAUAUCCUUGUAAUGAAGAUGUGAUUGCUUACAACCAUGAUCAUUUAACUUCCUCAUUGAAAAUGUCCAAAAGCCCACUUGGGGGUUGGCAUUUUGAAAUGGAAAGUCAUUGGUGGCAUGACCAGCUGGUGUCAUCUCUGCUCAAACCUUCAACAGGAGAAGCAAGAAAUGCAUGCGAGUGGUGGCAGGACCUGAAAUUCUUUAGAAUUCUCAAGACUGGCCAGUCACAUGCAUAAAGAGCAUCUCUAAGAAACAAGAAAGCUUCGACUGAAGGUUUGUGACUUCAGAGAGAAGUGGCCAAUUGUGCAGCAAAUCCCAACUUUUCAAUUAGUGAACUGUUGAACUGCUAAUCUCUCCUGGUUCUCAAAGAGAGCAUGUUCGUAAUUGCAUCAGGUGGAAUGCAUUUUCCAAAACAACCGUGACAAAUGAAGGCAGAAAAAAAGUCAGAAGUUACUAUAACCCUAAUUUCAGAAGCCCUGCCUGUUGCAGAAAUGCCUUGACAUUCUCACAAAGAGGCAACACUCUUGCCAAAAUCUUCUUUUACAGGAGAUCAUUAUUCCAGCUGGAACCUGGCCAGGUCAAGCUCUUUUUUGUUGUUGUUGUUGUUGAUCAAAUACUCCAAAAUCAAGAGCCGGUUUGGGAUGAGCUGAAAAUCUGAUUAUGUUCAUAACAAAAAUUAACUCUCUCAACCCUUAACACACAGAAGAUUUAUAAUGAUUUAUAGUGCCUCAUUGAAAUUCUAGGUGCACUGAAGUUUGACGUAGUUGAGAAUGAAAAUGAAGGGCAAAAGCUUUGCCCGCUAUUGCAAAGACAGGCUCAGUGUGAUGCUGCUACAUCAGGUUUUCUGUUUAUCCCUAAGGCUGGUGCAGCAAUGACUUCAAAGUUUGAUGGUGUCUGGGGUUUUUUUCCUUCGUUCUUUUUUUUUUGUUUUUUCUUUCUCUAAAGAAGUUGAGCAGCAGGCUAACGGAUCCCCAGCAGGGUGCAAAGACAGCGGAAAGCGAGGGAAUCAGAUGUCAAUGUGUUCCUCCGAGAUACCCUGCUAGGACAGCUAACUAACCAGGGCUUUAGUCUUCUCUUGGGGAACGCGCUUUGAUGGUUCCCUGCCCACUCCUGGCUUCCUAUAUGCUUCCUGAUUAAAAUGCUGUCACAGAUAAAUCAUGACUUCUGGAACCAUUUUCUAUUUUUUUUUAAGGAAAAGUUUGGAAACAUAAAAUUAAAACGAUGAGCAAGUUCUAGAGAAUUUUAUGUGCACAUAUAAACAUGUAUUUAAGCACAUCACAUCUCCCUACUGUAGAACCAUCCAUGGGUCUGGGACUAUUCUCUGCAUGUUCCUUCCCGACCCAUUACUUUAUGAGGUAUGUUUAUAUAUUUUCUUUCAGUCACUUUCAGUCAAUCACUAGAUUACUCUGGAAAGUUCCUGUUGAACAGAUUUUGAGGGGUUGGGGGGUUUCAUUGUUUUCCUUCAGCAUAAGCACAA